rnacentral:rRNA from 1 species
UUUAUUGGAGAGUUUGAUCCUGGCUCAGGAUGAACGCUGGCGGCGUGCCUAAUACAUGCAAGUCGAGCGAAUGGAUUAAGAGCUUGCUCUUAUGAAGUUAGCGGCGGACGGGUGAGUAACACGUGGGUAACCUGCCCAUAAGACUGGGAUAACUCCGGGAAACCGGGGCUAAUACCGGAUAACAUUUUGAACUGCAUGGUUCGAAAUUGAAAGGCGGCUUCGGCUGUCACUUAUGGAUGGACCCGCGUCGCAUUAGCUAGUUGGUGAGGUAACGGCCCACCAAGGCAACGAUGCGUAGCCGACCUGAGAGGGUGAUCGGCCACACUGGGACUGAGACACGGCCCAGACUCCUACGGGAGGCAGCAGUAGGGAAUCUUCCGCAAUGGACGAAAGUCUGACGGAGCAACGCCGCGUGAGUGAUGAAGGCUUUCGGGUCGUAAAAC